ensembl:lncRNA
UGGCCAGGAAUUAUGACAGCUUGUACUUUCCCAUGAGAACUAUAUGUAGAAACAGGUAAUUAGGACUGCCACUCAAGUGUUUUCUAACAGACAGGAGUGCAGCACAGUUGGGGCUUGAUGCUAACUGCUCCGACAGGUGAAACCUUUCUCCCAGCACCCUAGAUUCAAAUGAACAACAUUUAUCAUGGUGAGUGUUUGUUUUCCAGCCAAGUGACUGUAUCCUGUGAUGGAAUGAUGGCUAAUGGGAUUUUCUGCGAUGAUUUCUCAGUCAAUUAUAGCAGUAGAAGACCUAUGCAGAUGGAUAUGAAAUCAUCCCCAAUGAAAUCAUUCCUGUUUCUAAUUGCAGGAAGAACAAAAAAACAACAAAAAACCCCCAAAACCAUCUAGCCAGGGGUCCUGCACAUGUGAAAGAAGGCUUGAGGAAGAUGAACUGGAAACGUACACAUGCAACCACUGUAGUAUAUAUGGAACCCCCCUCUCCUCAAAUCCAGCUUCUAGGACCGUGCAUGUGGAGGCCUUUUAGAAAAUCAAUAACAAGGCCAGUUACCUUUUAAGGAAGGAGAACAGAGAACAGAGUGGACCUGAUUUUGGCUUUUCUUCCUAUUCCUCUUUUCUCAACGAACUGUUGAGCAACACAGUUCACACAUGCACAGAUAGAUCAGGGCCUACAUCUUUUGCCAGGCUUAUUGUGACGGAGCACAUUUCAGAUCUAUUUCUCUAUCAUAUAAGGGUGCUUCAAGUGCUUCAUUUCUCCCCUUGCACAUAUAAGGUAGCAGCUAUAUCCAGAGAUGUUUUGUAUAACAAUGCUAAUAUGAGGCCCAUAAAUGUGAAGAACCGAAGACAGGAAAAAUGAGAAACAGAGAUGAAACUGGAACUGGGAUUUUUCUCCAUCACUAGCAUAGCUCCCCCUCUGAAUUAAGACUUGUGUGCACAUACUGUAGGCUUCCCAAACAUUUGUGAGUGUAAUAUAACAUUACAGAUAAACUCGCUCUGUGGUGAUAAAUUCACUCUACUGUAAUUAAAAACAACACAUUUACCCAGAAUAAACACCAACAUUCUUUGUUACAAAAUUGUUACACUGCUCUGUUUUAAUUUAGAGAGCAUUCGCUGCUGAUUCUUAAAAAAAAAGCAAUAACUUUUCGACUUUUUUUUUUAAAAAAAUAGCCUGCUGAAAUUUCAGAAUGAGAGAAAAUUCAAUUUGUGAUUUCAGGAUGUUUUGUGCAACAGCAGGGGUGAGGGGAAUGAACAAGACCAUGUUUUAAAAGUGCACCGUUUGUGCAGUACAUUAAAAUGUGCACUGCAUUUGCUAAAAUGACACAUGGGGGGGGCAAAGCAACUGUGGAGUUAGUUCAUGCAGUUCUGAGAUAUAAGUCAUCGAGAAUUCAGGCCAUAUCUUCCAGAGUGAAUCAUCUCUUGUCUGCAUGGAAGAUGGCAUGCAUAACCUGUUUACUGAAAGCUUUAUCACCGAGGAAAUACAAUUCUAAGCAUCAUCAUGUUGAGCACCUUUAACAUUUACAAUUCCCUUGAAAAAACCCCACAGUAAGUAAGUCCAUAGAUGUAAAUAGAAAUAAGAGCGCUGUAUUGCCUUCCGUAUGCGAAAUAUGGCACAUAUGUCAACAGUUUUGUGCGGGAAGUCAGUCUAAAAAUGAGCUAUUGACGAUUAAGAGUCAAAUUUAUUAAUAAAAGCGCAGCACAAGGGCAAUUUUUGACACACACACACACACACACACACACGCACACACACCCUGCCAAUAGGUUAAGUCCCAAAGAUGCUCCCCUGUCUUUUACUUCUUGCACAAUGCCCUAUGGGCCUUUCUAAAAGUGUAGGAUGCUAACACAAAAGGGGUGGGCCCUAUUUAUGUCGUCGGGUGGCGCUGUGGUCUAAACCACAGAGCCUAGGGCUUGCCAAUCAGAAGGUCAGCAUUUGGGGUAAGCUCCCGUUGCUUGGUCCCUGCUCCUGCCAUCCUAGCAGUUCGAAAGCACGUCAAAGUGCAAGUAGAUAAAUAGGUACCGCUCUGGUGGGAAGGUAAACGGUGUUUCUGUGUGCUGCUCUGGUUCACCAGAAGCGGCUUAGUCAUGCUGGCCACAUGACCUGGAAGCUGUCUGCGGACAAACAUCGGCU